GUAGUCCACGCCGUAAACGAUGAGUACUAGUUGUUGUGGGUAUUGACCCCUGCAGUGACGCAGCUAACGCAUUAAGUACUCCGCCUGGGAAGUACGGUCGCAAGAUUAAAACUCAAAGGAAUUGACGGGGGCCCGCACAAGCGGUGGAGCAUGUGGUUCAAUUCGAUGCAACGCGAAGAACCUUACCUGGGUUUAACAUCCCCGGACAACCCUAGAGAUAGGGCUUUCACUUCGGUGACCGGGAGAUAGGUGCUGCAUGGCUGUCGUCAGCUCGUAUCGUGAGAUGUCGGGUUAAGUCCCUUAACGAGCGCAACCCUUAUCAUUAGUUGCCAUCAUUUAGUUGGGAACUCUAAUGAGACUGCCUGUGUUAAGCAGGA
rnacentral:rRNA from 1 species